rnacentral:rRNA from 1 species
AGUGUAAAGGCAUAAGGGAGCUUGACUGCGAGACCUACAAGUCGAGCAGGGUCGAAAGACGGACUUAGGGAUCCGGUGGUUCCGCAUGGAAGGGCCAUCGCUCAACGGAUAAAAGCUACCCCGGGGAUAACAGGCUUAUCUCCCCCAAGAGUUCACAUCGACGGGGAGGUUUGGCACCUCGAUGUCGGCUCAUCGCAUCCUGGGGCUGUAGUCGGUCCCAAGGGUUGGGCUGUUCGCCCAUUAAAGCGGUACGCGAGCUGGGUUCAGAACGUCGUGAGACAGUUCGGUCCCUAUCCGUCGUGGGCGUAGGAAAUUUGAGAGGAGCUGUCCUUAGUACGAGAGGACUGGGAUGGACAUACCUCUGGUGUACCAGUUGUCGUGCCAACGGCAUAGCUGGGUAGCUAUGUGUGGACGGGAUAAGUGCUGAAAGCAUCUAAGCAUGAAGCCCCCCUCAAGAUGAGAUUUCCCAACUUCGGUUAUAAGAUCCCUCAAAGAU